UACGUAGGGUCCGAGCGUUGUCCGGAAUUAUUGGGCGUAAAGGGCUCGUAGGCGGUCUGUCGCGUCGGGAGUGAAAACUUACAGCUUAACUGUGAGCGUGCUUCCGAUACGGGCAGACUUGAGGUAUUCAGGGGAGAACGGAAUUCCUGGUGUAGCGGUGAAAUGCGCAGAUAUCAGGAGGAACACCGGUGGCGAAGGCGGUUCUCUGGGAAUAUCCUGACGCUGAGGAGCGAAAGUGUGGGGAGCAAACAGG
rnacentral:rRNA from 1 species